UGGGGAAUAUUGCACAAUGGGGGAAAGCCCUGAUGCAGCAACGCCGCGUGAAGGAAGACGGUUUUCGGAUUGUAAACUUCUUUUCUUAGUGAAGAAGCAAGUGACGGUAGCUAAGGAAUAAGCAUCGGCUAACUACGUGCCAGCAGCCGCGGUAAUACGUAGGAUGCGAGCGUUAUCCGGAAUUACUGGGUGUAAAGGGAGCGCAGGCGGGACUGCAAGUUGGAUGUGAAAUACCGCAGCUUAACUGCGGAGCUGCAUCCAAAACUGUAGUUCUUGAGUGGAGUAGAGGCAAGCGGAAUUCCGAGUGUAGCGGUGAAAUGCGUAGAUAUUCGGAGGAACACCAGUGGCGAAGGCGGCUUGCUGGGCUCUAACUGACGCUGAGGCUCGAAAGUGUGGGGAGCAAACAGGAUUAGAUACCC
rnacentral:rRNA from 1 species